GAAUACUGGACAAUAGGCGAAAGCCUGAUCCAGCCAUGACGCGUGUGUGAAGAAGGUCUUCGGACUGUAAAGCACUUUAAGUUGGGAGGAAGGGCAGUAAGCGAAUACCUUGCUGUUUUGUCGUUACCGACAGAAAAAGUCACGGCUAACUCUGUGACAGCAGCCGCGGUAAUACAGAGGGUGCAAGCGUUAAUCGGAAUUACUGGGCGUAAAGCGCGCGUAGAUGGUUCGUUAAGUUGGAUGUGAAAUCCCCGGGCUCAACCUGGGAACGGCAUCCAAAACUGGCGAGCUAGAGUAGGGCAGAGGGUGGUGGAAUUUCCUGUGUAGCGGUGAAAUGCGUAGAUAUAGGAAGGAACACCAGUGGCGAAGGCGACCACCUGGGCUCAUACUGACACUGAGGUGCGAAAGCGUGGGGAGCAAACA
rnacentral:rRNA from 1 species